rnacentral:lncRNA from 1 species
CUCUGGGAGGCGGCUGAAACCCGGUGAGAAUUCGAGCGUGGCGCGGGUGGGCCAGCAGUGUUUGGGGACCCGGAGCACUCUCCACAGCUGCUGGUCCAGGUGCUAAGUCCCUCACUGCCCAGCACCUGCAGCGCCGACCGGCCGCUCUUGAGUGCGGGGCCUGCAGAGCCCACGCCCACCCGGAACUCGCGCUGGCCCGUGAGCGCCGUGCCGCAGCCCCGGUUCCCGCCCGCGCCUCUCCCUCCACACUUCGCCGCAAGCAGAGGGAGCCGGCUCCGGCCUCAGCUGGCCCAGAGAGGGGCUCCCUCAGUGCAGUGGCGAGCUGAAGGGCUCCUCAAGGGCGGCUGGAGUGGACGCUGAGGCCGAGGAGACGCCAAGAGCAAACGAGGGCUGCUAGUACAUUGUCACCUCUCACUGGUAACUACAGUUGCUGUCAGUUUAACUGUUGAUAUUCUGGAAGCAAGAUCUUGGAAGGCCAAGGACAGGUCAUUUCUUAGGACUGUGCAAAAGAGAAUCAGUCUUUACAGUAAGCUAUUUGAUUCUAGUAGUUCUUUCAUCUCAGUCUUUUGAAAGCAACUUCCCCUCUUUAACCAACACCUGCCAUGGCCUCUUCAUGAGCCGAAGAAGGAAAGACAGGACAGAUUCUUAUGACCUGAAACAGCACCUCAACUCUUACCUUGGAUAUUUCUACAUGAAGAAUCUGCUCUGAAACUAUAGCAAACAAUCACAGAGUGUUUGAGUGUGAGUCCAGACUGGUUCGGGAAGACCAAGAAGCAAUGAUGAUGUCUGUUUUUGUCAAAUGUCUGAAAACUAUUUUUAUUUUUCUAAAACUUUGUUCAGAAGUCUCAAUAUUGUAGUGUAUAGAGAUGUACACUAAUUUAGUGAUAUGAAGAUGAAGGGCUUUAAGCCUGUGUUCCUUGCAGGCAUCUCAGUACCUAGGAACUCCAAAGAACAAACUGUUGCUCGUGCAAAAUUAAAUUUCAUAAAACAGCAAAGAAUGGUGCCAGA